GGGGGAAAAAUUAAUAAAUUAUAAUUAAUAAAAAAAUUUUUAAUAAAAAUAUUUAAUGGGGGUUAAAGUAUUUUUUUUUGAAAAAAUAAAAAAAUUUAUAAUAAAUUAGUAUUGUAAAAGAAAUUUGAAAUAAUAUUAAAAAAAAAUUAUUUAAAAGUAAAUUUAAUUUAUUGUAUCUUGUGUAUCAGAGUUUAUUAAUAGAAAUUUUUAAUAAAAAAAUUCUCGAAUUUAAAAGAGUUAAUUAAUUAUAAAAUUUAAUGUAGUAUAAUUAUUUUUAAUAAUUAAUUAGAAAUGAAAUGUUAAUCGUUUUUAAAUAUAUCUAGUUUUUUUAGAAAAAAAUUUAAUUUUUAAUAUUAAAUUAUAAAAUUUUUAUUUAUGAAAAUUUUAUAAUUUAAUAUUUAAUAUUUUAAGGGAUAAGCUUUAAAAUAAAUUUUUAUAAUAAUUUUAUAUAUUAAUAUUAAAAAUUUUAAAAUUUAUAUUGUUUAUAAAUUAUAAUUUUUUAUAAAUAAUUUUAAUUUUAAUUAAAAUUUAAAUUGAAUUUAUUUAAUUUUUUAUAAAUAAAAUAAUUUUUAAUAAAAUUUAAUUAGAUAUAAUGAUAAAAUUAGUAUAUUAAUAUUUUAAUAAUAUUUAUUAAAAAAAAAAUUAUUAAAAGGAAUUCGGCAAAUUUUUAUAUUCACUUGUUUAUCAAAAACAUGUCUUUUUGAGAAUAAUUUAAAGUCUGUUCUGCCCACUGAUUAAUUAAUUAAAGGGCUGCAGUAUUUUGACUGUACAAAGGUAGCAUAAUCAAUAGUCUCUUAAUUGGUGACUUGUAUGAAGGAUUUGAUGAAAUAUAAGCUGUCUCUUAAUAAAUUAUAAAAUUUAAUUUUUUAGUAAAAAAGCUAAGAUAUUUUUAAAAGACGAGAAGACCCUAUAGAGUUUUAUAAUUAUAAUAAUUUUUAUUUUUUAUGAAAUUUUUAAUUAAAAUUAAAUUAAUUAUUUUAUUGGGGUGAUAGAAAAAUUAAAUAAACUUUUUUUAAAAAAUUUACAUUUAUUUAUGAUUAAAUGAUCCAUUAAUAUUGAUUAUAAGAAAAAAUUACCUUAGGGAUAACAGCGUAAUUUUUUUUUUUAGUUCAAAUAAGAAAAAAAGUUUGCGACCUCGAUGUUGGAUUAAGAUAAAAUUUAAAUGCAAAAGUUUAAAAUUUUUGAUCUGUUCGAUCAUUAAAAUCUUACAUGAUCUGAGUUCAAACCGGUGUAAGCCAGGUUGGUUUCUAUCUUUAAAUAAAUAAAAUAUUUUAGUACGAAAGGAUUAAAUAUUUAAAAUAAUUUUAAAUAAAAGAAUUUUAUUAAUAAUUUUAUUAUAAUUACUAUUUUGACAGAAAAAUGU
rnacentral:rRNA from 1 species